GGAGGCGCCGGUUAAAGAGCCUGGCAGCUCUUGGAAAACUGCCCUCGGGGUGGGGGCCCCGCAGAGGUCGCUGGGCCGUGGACCUGACGUCUUUGAAAGAAGAAGGAACUCAUCUGUUCCACAUAGGCAGCAUCUUUCAGGAUCCUCGGCAAGGUCCUCUGCUGCAGAGGCACAGAUGAUGCAUGCCAGGUGUCUGUUGUUCACCAGUGACUUCCACUUUACCAACAGUCCAAGACAACUGCUGAGGACACCUUCAAAUCAGCAGUUCUCUGUGUAGUCUAGGCUGGUCUUCAACUAACAGUCCUGCCUUAUCCUUGCUAGUGCUGAGAUUGCAGGUGUGCAUCCCUACACCUGAUGCAUAGCGAUUCUCUCCCUCCAUUUCUCCCUCUUUCCCCUCCCCCUUCUUUUCCCUUGCCCUUCCAAGACUCUAUCCCUCUGGAACCAAACGAAAAGGAAGGAAAAAAGGAAAAGAGACUUCCUCAAGCUGUUCCUGCCAGUCUGUUGUAUCACAGCAGCGACAACAACUAUUGUG
rnacentral:lncRNA from 1 species